rnacentral:rRNA from 1 species
AGCUCCAAUAGCGUAUAUUAAAGUUGCUGCAGUUAAAAAGCUCGUAGUUGCAUUUCCGAGGCAAGGGAUUAGUCCGACCUUUGGUGGGUAUUUAAUCCUCUUGCCUCGUCCUUGAGUGGUGCUUCUUGGUAUUAAGUUAUCGAGGAGAUAGCCGCUCAUCGUUUACUGUGAGAAAAUUAGAGUGUUCAAAGCAGGCUUAUGCCGUUGAAUAUAUUAGCAUGGAAUAAUAAGAUAGGACCUCGGUACUAUUUUGUUUGUUUGAGAACCAAGGUAAUGAUGAAUAGGGACAGUUGGGGGUAUUCGUAUUCAGUUGUCAGAGGUGAAAUUCUUAGAUUUACUGAAGACGAACUACUGCGAAAGCAUUUACCAAGGAUGUUUUCA